CAAGUCGAGUGCGCGCCUGUAGCAAUACAGGUGGCGCACGGCGCACGGGUGCGUAACACGUGGGCAAUCUGCCCUCUGAUGGGGAAUAACCCGCCGAAAGGCGGGCUAAUACCGCAUAAAAUUCCUUGGACUUAUGUUCGAGGAUUCAAAGGCGUAAGUCGUCGGAGGAGGAGCCCGCGCACGAUUAGCUAGUUGGUAGGGUAAUGGCCUACCAAGGCUUUGAUCGUUAGCUGGUCUGAGAGGAUGGCCAGCCACACUGGAACUGAGACACGGUCCAGACUCCUACGGGAGGCAGCAGUGGGGAAUCUUGCACAAUGGGCGAAAGCCUGAUGCAGCGACGCCGCGUGGGGGAUGAAGCAUUUCGGUGUGUAAACCCCUUUCGAUCCGGACGAAUGCCUCGCAAGAGGAGUGACGGUACGGAUAUAAGAAGCCCCGGCUAACUACGUGCCAGCAGCCGCGGUAAGACGUAGGGGGCCAGCGUUGUUCGGAAUUACUGGGUGUAAAGGGUUCGUAGGCGGUGUGGCAAGUUGGGUGUGAAAUCUCUGGGCUCAACCCAGAGACUGCUUCCAAAACUGCUGUGCUUGAGUGUGAGAGAGGCUCGUGGAAUUGCAGGUGUAGCGGUGAAAUGCGUAGAUAUCUGCAGGAACACCCGUGGCGAAAGCGGCGAGCUGGAUCACUACUGACGCUGAGGAACGAAAGCUAGGGGAGCAAACAGGAUUAGAUACCCUGGUAGUCCUAGCCCUAAACGAUCAGGACUUGGGGUGCCACCCGUUCGGGUGUCGUCCCGGAGCUAACGCGUUAAGUCCUGCACCUGGGGAGUACGGUCGCAAGACUGAAACUCAAAGGAAUUGACGGGGGCCCCCACAAGCGGUGGAACAUGUGGUUCAAU
rnacentral:rRNA from 1 species